UUCAUCCCUUUUAUUUUACAUACAUGUACUGUACACAAAAAACUAACAAAUACGUAAAUAAAUAAUUAUAAGAAUGAAAAUGUCCUACCUUUCAGAUGCUAAAAAAACAUUUCAUUUUUUUUUUCAAUUCUGAUAUACAUAUCAUACCCCCUGGCAAAAUAACAAACAAGAUGAACAAAACACUAAAUAAUGGGGUGAACAGUUAGAACAAAAAUAAAGUAAAGCAUUUGGUAAGCUGAAAUGCAUUAAAACUAAUGCCUUUCAUCAAAUAUGCCUAAUUCAAUCACUCAAUUUUAAAUAGCUGUCAGUACACACUUUUCUGUAGAUUAGCAGCUGGCAUAUUACUAAUUUCAUAAUAAAAAUUCCUUACUUAUAUUUUCGUAAUACACACAUUUAUUUUGAUCAAAGUGUAGAGAAUCAAUUUUAUCCUUGUUUUGAUAUAAAUAACAGUAUACAAAUCUUGUUUCAGUUGUACCUGUGAUAAUAUUAAAACUGUAUAUUUUAUCAUUAUGUUCAUUACAUAAUUUGGUAAAUCCUAUAAAAAUGUUAUAAUCCAAAAGUUAGUAAUAUCUUCAUAUAAAAAAUGGAUGUGUCUUUAAUUUGAAAAAAAAAAAACAAUCCAUCAGCAGUCACGGUGAAAAUGAGAAAAAGUGAUGAAUCAGUGAAUGAAAAAUGGGGGGGGUGUCAUAAACAGGUAAAAGAUGGAACUAAACUUUAGUUUAGCUUUAACAAAUAAAAUGCAUUUAGUCUACUUUUUCUUCAAAUUAUGUAUCCCUAAUUUCCAUAAUCAAAUAUGAAUGAGAGACAAGUAACACCCCUCUGAUAUAUGUGUCUGAUUACUUACAAAAAGAUAUCCCCUCUUUUGGGCAAGAAUACCAAUCCCAACAAUCCUCUUGGUUAAUUGACAAGAUUUUUUUCCCAAUUACUGUACAACAAACAGUGGAGCUGAGCUGAGCAAUAUCAUAAUCAGUAAUUAAGUGACACUGUAAGUCUAUGAAAACCAUACACCAAAAGUUAUGUUAGAUUGUAAACAUUGAUCUUAUAUCUUUAUCUUACAGGGCCAUGAUGUAAAAUCUCUUCUUUUUUAUAAUAACUGAAGUUUUAUGCCCUAACAGUAUUCCUAUGUACAUCUUUUUUUUUGUAAUUCCCAUUAUGGCAACUUGCUUGGAGCCUUUGAUUUCAAAUGAGCUAUAUCGGUCUGUUUAUCUCAGUAGUUACCAUUGAUACCAAAGGAGCAUAAUUGUAACUUUAAAGGGAUGGGUCUCUAAAUUCAUUGUAUUUGUAAGUUCUAUAUUCUGUACGUUGUAGAGAAGUUGUCAAAAUAUAACAAGCGUCACACAUCAUCAACAUAAUAUUCAGAAUUCAUCUAUGAUUUGAAUUAAAAUUUAUCAGCUACAUUUCAUAUUCAUUCCAAAACCAUAGGUAUUCUUUAAAUGUCAGAAAUAAACUGUCAAGGUGGUACACACUUAAAUUAGACAAUAAAAAACAACAACAUAUAAUUGGCAAAAAAGAAAAAAAUGUGUAACAACUAACAUCCAAAGAGUAAAUAAUUCUCCCAAUUGAAUUUUUAAUAAGUGACAUUCAUCUUCUUCAUUACUAAAGGCAGGAUUUUGUCUCAAAAUUAGAAUGACUAAACCUCAGUCUUAUCUAUGCAUUAAUCAAGGACAUAUAAAAAUCUUAUCAAUUAAUACUUUUUAAAAAUUCACAAUUCAUUUGGAGUCCAAACAUUUACAAGCAGAAAGAGGGAAAAUUUCUCCAGGAAAUGGGUGUGUCAAAAAACUUUGAGGAAUGAGAUUUUAAAUACCUCAAUUUGCAUCCACUGCAAAGUCAAUGUGAUUAUUUAGAUUUCUGUAUACUUAUCCAAAACAUUUCUAACCAAAUAUUUAUUGAUUUAUAAUGUUGCAACAAAAAAAGGGAUACUCUGGCUACGAGUUUCUGCAAAAUGUAUAAUCGAUUGAAGCCCAAAACAUAAACCAAUAAAAGUGAUAUUUUUCAUUUUUUGCAAAUAUUAUUGUUUGUAAAUGGAUAUUGACCAACUGCAAGUUUUCAACACUGAUAAUACAAAGUCAAACAUGCAUCUGAUUUCUCAUGCCUUCUCAAGAAAAUGCUGAACCCGACACUGCUGCAUUGUAAUGUACUCAUAACCAUCAUUUAAAUAAUUACAAAUAAAUAGAAACUUACACUUCAUUUAUCUUGAUUUCAAAUAUAAGAUGAAAUUAGGAUCACAUCACCUACAGGUAUUUAAUAUAAGCAAUGAAAUCACAAGGAAAGCUUACUCUGAAUAGGCAUUUUGAAUCUAUUACAAUGUAUUCAGUACGGCUUCAUCGAUAUAUAGCAAUAUAUUUAAAACUAUUGGACUCUGUUAGUACAUUAUUUUAAGUAAAGUGUGAUGGACAAACUGUUUCUCACUGCGUCAAGAAAAGAAAAAUCAUUAAUGAGUUAGUAAUCAACUCUGGGGAGCAUUUCAUGAAGAGAUUUGUCAGUUACUUUCACCGACUAAUUUGCUCUCGGCCAAUCAGAUGCUCAGAUUUCUAGUAGCUUAUAACAACAGUCAUUGCAAAUUGUUGGCAAAAAUCUUCAUGAAACACACCACAUGCCUGCAGCAGAUUGAAAAAAUGUGU
rnacentral:lncRNA from 1 species